UCCACAUCGAAUAGUCGGGUACGGGUACUUAAGCUGGACUGAGAAACUCUGCUUUCCGACCGGGUUCACCUGCCCUGGGCAAAUACAAGAUGGGACGAUGGCCCAUCUAUAUUCUGAGGAGCAACUUUUCUUGUUUGACUAACCUUGUCAAUCAAAAAUUUAUUAUCACUCGCCUUUAACUAGUUGAUUCCGAUGUGACAACACUAGCAAAAACAUGAGUGAAUUAGGCCCUCAAUCAAUCAUUCGGCCAUUCCAGAUUCAGUCAAAUUUACAGCAUUAGUAGCCCAUUCAAACAAUCACAGUCGAUGAUUGUGCGGCCGUCAGCUAUCAUUUAUCAAGCGUCGAAGCGCGCAUAAUAUCGCUCGGAGGAUAAAAGGCAGCAAAUGAGUAAUGUCUUCUUGGAAGACAGCUGACUGGAGCGGUAAUUGAAUUCCAUUCUGCGUCAGCAGGCUGCAUCCAAAUGACACUCGAAGACAGGACUGGAGCAGCUGUCAUAGUUUUGCACCCGUAAGAUAUCCUGUGCGAUUAGAAACCAGGAGGCGUCGACGGCGUCGUACCACAAGGCAUAUCAACUAAUUAAGAGUCCGAGCUUCCUGUGCAAGAGGUGAGCCCAGCUAAUGACCGCUUUACGGAAUUCAUUUACCGAAUGGUUGCGGCACACGCAGCACGUGGCCCGCUGCAUAUUCAUCAGCUAGCAGGGGACUCCGGGCGGCAAGGACAUCACCCUAAUUAUGCUGCUCGCCCGAGCUCAUCUUCACCGCAAUCAGAGCAUGAGCCUGAGCACUGGGCCUCUGCAGCCUUAUGGCCAUUAAUAACCAGUGCCGACAUUAAUCAGUUUUAUAUAUCAAAUUAAGUCCGCCGCACUUGUAGUGAGCAAAAAAGCAAAAGUGCUUCGACUGUCAGAUACCCGUCACUCCAUUACAAGUUGUUUGAAAAAAG
rnacentral:misc_RNA from 1 species